rnacentral:rRNA from 1 species
CCCUUAGAUGUCCUGGGCCGCACGCGCGCUACACUGAUGCAUUCAACGAGUUCACCUUGGCCGAGAGGCCUGGGCAAUCUUUUGAACGUGCAUCGUGAUAGGGAUAGAUUAUUGUAAUUUUUAAUCUUGAACGAGGAAUUCCUAGUAAACGCAGAUCAUCAAUCUGCAUUGAUUACGUCCCUGCCCUUUGUACACACCGCCCGUCGCACCUACCGAUUGAAUGGUCCGGUGAAGCCCCGGGAUUGUGAUGAGUUCCCUUCAUUGGGAGUUUGUCGCGAGAACUUGUCUAAACCUUAUCAUUUAGAGGAAGGUGAAGUCGUAACA